UGAGAACGAGCUGCUACGGCAGCGAAGUGGGUGAUGUCAAGCUUCCAAGAAAAGCCCUAUACCCGUUAAGGCAUGAUGGCCUGUACCCGAAACCGACACAGGUGGGGUGGUAGAGAAUACCGAGGGGCGCGAGAUAACUCUCUCUAAGGAACUCGGCAAAAUGGCCCCGUAACUUCGGGAGAAGGGGUGCCACCGCAAGGUGGUCGCAGUGAAGAGGCCCAGGCGACUGUUUACCAAAAACACAGGUCUCCGCUAAGUCGCAAGACGAUGUAUGGGGGCUGACGCCUGCCCAGUGCCGGAAGGUUAAGGAAGCUGGUCAGCGUAAGCUAAGCUAGCGACUGAAGCCCCGGUGAACGGCGGCCGUAACUAUAACGGUCCUAAGGUAGCGAAAUUCCUUGUCGGGUAAGUUCCGACCCGCACGAAAGGCGUAACGAUCUGGGCGCUGUCUCGGAGAGAGGCUCGGCGAAAUAGAAUUGUCUGUGAAGAUGCGGACUACGUGCACCCGGACAGAAAGACCCUAUGAAGCUUUACUGUAGCUUGGUAUUGUGCCCGGGCUCUGAAUGCGCAGGAUAGGUGGGAGGCUUUGAUCCAUUGCUUGUGGGUGAUGGUGAGCCAACGGUGCGAUACCACUCUUUCAGAGCUAGGGUUCUAACGGUCACCCGUCAUCCGGGGACCGGACAGUAUCAGGUGGGCAGUUUGACUGGGGCGGUCGCCUCCUAAAAGGUAACGGAGGCGCGCAAAGGUUUGCUCAGGCUGGUUGGAAAUCAGCCGACGAGUGUAAAAGCAGAAGCAAGCUUGACUGUGAGACCUACAAGUCGAACAGGGACGAAAGUCGGCUUUAGUGAUCCGACGGUUCUGAGUGGAAGGGCCGUCGCUCAACGGAUAAAAGUUACUCUAAGGAUAACAGGCUGAUCUCCCCCAAGAGUUCACAUCGACGGGGAGGUUUGGCACCUCGAUGUCGGCUCAUCGCAACCUGGGGCUGAAGUCGGUCCCAAGGGUUGGGCUGUUCGCCCAUUAAAGCGGUACGCGAGCUGGGUUCAGAACGUCGUGAGACAGUUCGGUCCAUAUCCGGUGCAUGCGCAGGAAUAUUGAGAGGAUUUCUCCCUAGUACGAGAGGACCGGGAGGAACGCACCUCUGGUGUGCCAGUUAUCGUGCCAACGGUAAACGCUGGGUAGCCAUGUGCGGAGAGGAUAACCGCUGAAAGCAUCUAAGUGGGAAGCCCACCUCAAGAUGAGUAUUCCCAUGGCGUUAGCCAGUAAGGUCACGGGCAGAACACCCGUUGAUAGGCUCUACGUGGAAGCCGGGUAACCGGUGAAGCGGAGGAGUACUAAUAGACCGAGGGCUUGACC
rnacentral:rRNA from 1 species